rnacentral:rRNA from 1 species
UACAGAGGGUGCGAGCGUUGUCCGGAAUCACUGGGCGUAAAGGGCGCGUAGGUGGCGGCCCAAGUCCAUGGUGAAAGCUCGAUGCUCAACAUCGAGUCGGCCACGGAUACUGGGUUGCUCGAGCACUGUAGGGGCAGAUGGAAUUCCGGGUGUAGCGGUGGAAUGCGUAGAUAGUCUGGAGGACACCGGUGGCGAAGGCGGCAUCCU